GGGAGUGGGAAUCCCCUCUUAAAAAUAGUAAGUAAACACUGGAGUGAGAGGAAUUCACACUCCACACUCCACAUUCCCACUUCAGAAAGUAAACACUACCUUAAUGUGAUUUUUAGAUACUAGAUGAUUUAAUACACUAAAAAAAAAAAUUGAGUAACUAAUAAACUAAACAUAGGAAGUGCCCAGUGGUGCCAAUUUUUUAAAGAGAGGCUAUUUGAUUAUUGAAGUCCGAUCAUGGAGCUGUAUGUGCAUGUACGUUAUUUAAGUAUAAUGCUGGAGGUUAGUUAUUUUGUAGUUCGUUUAUCUUUUUUCCACCUUUAGGUGUGAUAAUGGAAGGAAUAUAGCAUUUUACAAAUUGGAUGGUACACAGCUUGCUAAGGUCACGAGGAACAAUUAGAAAAUAAAGCAGUGCUUUUCGCAGUGCAGGGAAGAAGGUUUGAUUAGCCCAAAAUAUAUGGCAUUUGUAAAAUUAACAUACCUAAUGUAGGUAUCUGACAAUAACAGGUGUCACCAUUUGAGUAAGUGGCUGGAUGAGACAGCAAGAAUUUUAAACAAGUGAUAUGCUCUCCUCGAUUUGAUAGUAAAGGGGUUGUUGUAUGUAUACCAUCAGAGCUCAGAGGUGGCUUUUAAGCCGAAAGUGAUUUUAUUCAACAAUUUGUUUGAUUAAAAAAAA
rnacentral:lncRNA from 1 species